GCCCACUCUAAUUCUAAGAUAUAUUGUUUUGCUAAACUUGACCCCUUAUGACGCGAUGAAGGCACGUGCCUUCUCCUCUUUCAGCGCGGGUGUUCACGUGCACAAGAUUACAAACACGCAUGUCACAGAUGAAACGAAUGGAUUCUAGAAACUGUGUACACUGAAAACCUACGAAAUUUUAGAUAUAUUUCUAUAUGUAUACUUCUUUGAUGUUAAUUACUGGGUAAUAUAAGUUCAUAACUGAACUCAAAACAUAACUGGACUAAUAAGUGGGUUUCUCUUGUAUGAAGAAGUUUUGUUCUUCGUGACCACUACACAGAAUUGAAAGAUUUGUUUAAUUUCGAGUUCCUUCCUAUAUGAAGUAUCAACAAUGAUUUCUCUCGAUGUAUUUGGAAAAGCGACGGAAAUGCCUGGCAUUGAACACUAUCUGCUGCCAUGUAACGCUUAUACUACCCACCAAUACGGGCAACACAACCUGAAUUUCCACUGGAGAACGAAAAAAAGCUUUAAAAAAUUAUUAACUAUCCGUUCAUACGAUCACACUUUAAGACUUCCAGAAACCAAAAUCACGCAUUUCAAGGACAGUUACUUCAUUAGAGACUUGGCAGCCAUAAGAAGUCGUUUUAGAGGGCGCUGCAGCGGAUUAGUGGGGUCGUUCUGAGCUAAUAACUGAAUAGUGUGUUUAAUUUGUUCACAUAGUCCCUCCAGAAUACCAGAGACAUGUUCUUUUGUGACAGGAUCGUUCGUAUCCAGUGCUACGACUGCUUCAUCUAAAUACCU